GACGAACGCUGGCGGCGUGCCUAACACAUGCAAGUGGAGCGACGAACCAGGCUUCGGCCUGGGGCAAAGCCGCGAACGGGUGAGUAACACGUGGGUAACCUGCCCUGAUGAUUGGGACAACCCGAGGAAACUCGGGCUAAUACCAAAUGUGCCCUUCGGCCAUAAGGCCGCCGGGAAAGGAAGCUUCGGCCUCCGCAUCUGGAUGGGCCCGCGGCCCAUUAGCUUGUUGGUGAGGUAACGGCUCACCAAGGCGACGAUGGGUAGCUGGUCUGAGAGGACGAUCAGCCACACUGGGACUGAGACACGGCCCAGACUCCUACGGGAGGCAGCAGUGGGGAAUCUUGCGCAAUGCGCGAAAGCGUGACGCAGCAACGCCGCGU
rnacentral:rRNA from 1 species